GGGAGGCAGCAGUGAGGAAUAUUGGUCAAUGGGCGCGAGCCUGAACCAGCCAAGUCGCGUGAGGGAUGAAGGUUUAUGGAUCGUAAACCUCUUUUAUAAGGGAAUAAGUGCGGGACGUGUCCCGUUUUGUAUGUACCUUAUGAAUAAGGAUCGGCUAACUCCGUGCCAGCAGCCGCGGUAAUACGGAGGAUCCGAGCGUUAUCCGGAUUUAUUGGGUUUAAAGGGUGCGUAGGCGGCCUUUUAAGUCAGCGGUGAAAGUCUGUGGCUCAACCAUAGAAUUGCCGUUGAAACUGGGAGGCUUGAGUAUGUUUGAGGCA
rnacentral:rRNA from 1 species